GGGCCAAUCGUAUAGUGGCUUAUUAUGCUGUCUUAGGGCUUCUUCGGGUUCAUUCGAACUUGAUGCACUAAGUUGACAGAGGUCCCCGGUUCGAUUCCGGGUUGGCCCC
rnacentral:tRNA from 1 species